CCUACGGGAGGCAGCAGUGGGGAAUCUUGCGCAAUGGGCGAAAGCCUGACGCAGCAACGCCGCGUGCGGGAAGAAGGCUUUCGGGCUGUAAACCGCUUUCAGCAGGAACGAAAAUGACGGUACCUGCAGAAGAAGGAGCGGCCAACUAUGUGCCAGCAGCCGCGGUGAUACAUAGGCUUCAAGCGUUGUCCGGAUUUAUUGGGCGUAAAGAGUUCGUAGGCGGUCGAGUAAGUCGGGUGUGAAAAUUCUGGGCUCAACCCAGAGACGCCACCCGAUACUGCUUGACUUGAGUUCGAUAGGGGAGUGGGGAAUUCCUAGUGUAGCGGUGAAAUGCGCAGAUAUUAGGAGGAACACCGGUGGCGAAGGCGCCACUCUGGAUCGAUACUGACGCUGAGGAACGAAAGCAUGGGUAGCAAACAGGAUUAGAUACCCUGGUAGUCCAUGCCGUAAACGGUGGGCACUAGGUGUGGGUUUCUAUUAACGAAAUCCGCGCCGUCGCUAACGCAUUAAGUGCCCGCUGGAGUACGUCGCGAGACGAAACUACAANAGUAAGUAGUAGCGUUGAGAGUUGCCGAGGCGACGACGAGGGAGAGG
rnacentral:rRNA from 1 species